AUUUAAGGGACGCUGGAUGUCAUAAUGCAAAGAGUUAGGACGUCUAGUGUCAAGCGACCAAAAGUCACCUAGCAAGCAGGAAGUGCCUCUAGUGGCUGUCUGGUAGACAUUGUCUUAGUGUUGCAAUGUAAACAUUGCAGUUUCCCUGCACCGCAAUAGGGAACUGCACCGCGACCACUUCAAUGAGCUGAAGUGGUGUGGGUGUCUAAAGCGUCCAUUUACAUUUGCAGAGAUAAAACAGUGCAUUGGGUUCCAACAUAAGCACAAGAGUCCUAAAUCUGUAUUUAUUUGUAUUUUGAAAUUGAUAUUUUUGAUGCAUGCAGCAAAAGAGAGAAAAGGGGGAGGGAGUACUACAUUUACAGCUCCAAGUAAACUUUGUGAAAACUUAUUUUUUGCUAUAUUUUUCCAUCAAGUGUGCACUUUACAAAUGUCAGGGGGCUGCCAUUACUGUACACUCAUCUCAACAUUUUUUGGUCAUUGAGCAUGACUUCAAAUCCUGGUUGGAUUACGAUUGGUUGAAAGUCCCAAGAUGCCAAACAGAACACAACAUAUUGCAUCAGUUUCUCAUACCUCCCAAGUGUCAAUAUGUAGGAGGGACAGACCAUAUUUGGGGCACAAAUGCCUCCGACCCUUUUUUCUUUCCUAAUGGCCCUCUUUUCUAUGAGCUCCAUAUUGUUGGUGUGUCUGAGUGUAUAACAGAGCUCCACAGAAAUAAUACUCCCAGUAAUGUGUCUGAGCGUAUAACAGAGCUCCACAGAAAUAAUACUCCCAGUAAUGUGUCUGAGUGUAUAACAGAGCUCCACAGAAAUAAUACUCCCAGUAAUGUGUCUGAGCGUAUAACAGAGCUCCACAGCAAUAAUACUCCCAGUAAUGUCUUUAAACUACAAUAAAUGUGUUUAGAAAUCAGUCUGUGUAAAUAAGAUACACUGUUCUUGUUCUAAAUUACAUUUUAGUUGCAUAAAUGUUUAUUAGUCACCUAAACAUUCUCAUAAAAGCCCUGCCUUCAGCCACAACCCCACUCACACCUCUAAAAUUAGUGUCCCUUUUUGUCCAUUUGAAAUGUUGGGAGGUAUGGGGUUAUUACAUUACCUUAGCCAUGUUUUCUAAAAGCAAAACUUAUUGCAGCUGGGACAAGCUUAACAGCCAGGUCCGAUAAAG